GGAGGGAAUCAAAUGGAGGAGGAGGAGGAGGAAGAUGAAGGAGGAGGGGGCAGAGCCGGGUUAAAAAGGAAUGACUCAGAGAAGCAGCAGCAGCACCGUCUUUUUGGAGUCUGUUUGACUGCAGAGAUUCUCACAUGAAGAAGACGGAGUUAUGUUGAGCUUGUGUGCUUUGCUGAUCUCUCCUCCUCUUCCUCCUCCUCUUCCUCCUCCUCUUCCUCAGAU